rnacentral:rRNA from 1 species
UACAGAGGUCCCAAGCGUUGUUCGGAUUCACUGGGCGUAAAGGGUGCGUAGGUGGCUUGGUAAGUUCGAUGUGAAAUCUCCGGGCUUAACCCGGAAAUGGCAUUGAAUACUAUUGAGCUGGAGGUUUGGAGGGGGGACUGGAAUUCUCGGUGUAGCAGUGAAAUGCGUAGAUAUCAAGCGGAACACCAGUGGCGAAGGCGAGUCCCCUGGACAACUCCUGACACUGAGGCACGAAAGCUAGGGGGAGCAAACAGG